UCAAUCUUAACUUGACAGGUGCAGCAGCAACACAUGACAGAAGAACAGGGAAGAAUUUGUCUUUUUUACCCCACUAAAACCAAAGAAAACGUAUUAAAUGCUAAUGUGAUUGUUACACAAACUUACUGUUAACUCUAUCACUGAGCAGUUAGACCUCCAGUAAACUAAUCAAUACCGACUCACUGAUCUCUGCGAAGAGUUUGGAUUUUUUUGGAUGUAGUUAAGAGUGAUUUAAUCAACUGCAUGUUUACGAAUACUACACUCCUGUAAGUAUUAAACUGAUAGCCUCAUUGGACAAAUCCUCUUAAUGAUCGUGGACCAAUAUAAAGCUAGCGUUUAACACACGUUUGUUUCUCACUCUCUUCACAACUUUGUGAUCAAGCUACUAAUUACUGAUAGUUCCAGCUUUGAUGUUGACAUUCCCUUUUCUCCUAUUUAAUGGGAAUAUCGUGACUUCUGACACAGGGCAGGUCUGCGGGGGUGUAGCAUGGAGCAGUCACAGCUGGGUAGAAGGUGGGUGCAGCCAUGCUGGAAGUUUGGGGGAGUUACCAGACUUCAUAUGAAGGUAAUGAAACCUGAUGUUAUUAGUCUAAAUAUAUAUAAUCUGUGUGGCUGUAGGAUGGGUGUGUCGAGGUUCCUAAGUGUCUUUAACGGGUCCCUGCCAAUUUUACACAUCAAAGUCAUUUUACCAGUCACAGCUGUGUGUUUAUUGCAACUCAGAGAGGAAGUCUAUCAAAUAGCAGGAAAUAUUUGAAGUGUCACUCAGGUGUCUCAGUUUGGACUCUGGGACUGCAAAUGUUAACAAAUUAGCCUGUGUCACAAACUUACUAAACAGACAUUAGCAGUAGUAUAGCAUCCUUUUCAGGUGAGAAAAUGCAGUCUCCAGUUUGGGUUCCUUGUUGUUCUACCAGGUCAAACCUCACCCCUCAAAACUUACUAUGUGACUCAACUUAUCCAAUAUUUCACAUAAAAAAAAAAUUAAAAAGAGGAUAAGAAUUGACAAGUCACAGGCAAGUCAGUCUACCUACAGUAGCCUGCAGUAAUAUACUUUGGUAUAUGUAAAUUCAGUUAUAUUUUUAAUGUUUUAAUUUUAUUGUCUUUUAAAAGGCAAUUUUAAUGUUUUCUUCAUGUCUUAAUUUUCAGUGUAUUUCUACUUCACUGUAAAGCACCUCGAAUUUCCUUGUGUCUGAAUGGAGCCAUAUAAAUAAACUUGCCUUCUAAAUUAAUUAUCCCAGCUGAUUAAGACAAGUCUAUUCUGCUCUGUUCAGCAAUGUGUUGAUGAUCAAGUCAUGUCUCUAUCCUCAUGCAGAUGAACUGAUUGUGGGUGACAGGGCAGAUAAUUCAUAGUUUAAAACAUAUGUAGUUUUGACUGCAAAACAACAACAGGGUACAUACAUACAUAGCAUAUACAAGAAGGAAGGAAAAAUCCAAACUAGCAUGUAGUCCCCCAUCUAGUAAUACCUGCCCAAUCCCUGCCGACCAGGCCAAGCCAAUAAUCGCUCCACAACAAAAAUUUUCACCACAUUUCCCAAUGAAAACUCAAAAUCUAAUUUCGUCAAGCCACAACUUUAUUUCCAUCUUGGGUAUAAAUUGUAUAAACGAGCUU